rfam:Salpingoeca sp. ATCC 50818 unplaced genomic scaffold supercont1.2, whole genome shotgun sequence.
GCCGCGGUGGUGUAAUGGUAACACUACGCGUUGUGGUCGCGUUACUCCCGGUUCGAUUCCGGGCCGUGGCA